GACGAGUCCUUAACUGACGCUAAAGCUCGAAAGUGCGGGUAUCGAACAGGAUUAGAUACCCUGGUAGUCCGCACGGUAAACGAUGGAUGCCCGCUGUUGGCGAUACAUUGUCAGCGGCCAAGCGAAAGCGUUAAGCAUCCCACCUGGGGAGUACGCCGGCAACGGUGAAACUCAAAGGAAUUGACGGGGGCCCGCACAAGCGGAGGAACAUGUGGUUUAAUUCGAUGAUACGCGAGGAACCUUACCCGGGCUUGAACUGCAGCUGAACGAUUCAGAGAUGAUGAGGUCCUUCGGGACAGCUGUGGAGGUGCUGCAUGGUUGUCGUCAGCUCGUGCCGUGAGGUGUCGGCUUAAGUGCCAUAACGAGCGCAACCCUCCUCAUUAGUUGCCAUCAGGUCAUGCUGGGCACUCUGAUGAUACUGCCACCGUAAGGUGUGAGGAAGGUGGGGAUGACGUCAAAUCAGCACGGCCCGACGUCCGGUGCUACACACGUGUUACAAUGGGUGGUACAGAGAGUCAACCGCCGGCAACGUCGGUUUAAUCAAUAAAGCCAUCCUCAGUUCGGAUUGGGGUCUGCAACCCGACCCCAUGAAGCUGGAUC
rnacentral:rRNA from 1 species